GGCGUAAAGCGCAUGCAGGUGGGAGGUCAAGUCUGAUGUGAAAUCCCCGGGCCCAACCUGGGAAGUGCAUUCGAAACUGCUUUUCUUGAGUACUGUAGAGGGGGGUAGAAUUUC
rnacentral:rRNA from 1 species